rnacentral:lncRNA from 1 species
CUUAAUCUCGCUACCUCCCCCUCCUCUCUUCUCUCUUCUCCCUCUCUCUCCUCUUUUCUCUACCGCUGUCUCUGAGACUUCUUCUUCCCUUUUUCCUAAAGAAGUUGAUCCAGAAAUUCGAAAAGCCCUGGGCAGAGUUGUUGAAUGGGAUGUGCAAUUAGAGAGGGGAUUUUGUUGGGAGGCAAGAGGGUCCCCCAGGCUCCACAUAGUCCAGGUCGGCAGGCAAGGAAAGACGGCUGACCAGCCCAGCGGGCGCGGUUUGCACAUGGUUUGCACGUCGGGCCGCCUCUUUCUGCCUAUGUGAGCACUAAUAGUGGCAAGGAAGAAAGGAGAGAUGAGAUCAUGGGGCCCACCAAGCACCGACCUUGGCCCAGCGGGCCGUGGCGCCAGCCGGGGAUCCCGGAUUCCGAGGAAUUCAGCUGCCUCUCUGAGGAGUGGUGGAGGAGCUGCGGGAGCCGAGAAGCCCAAGAGCCCUCUGGACCCAGAAAAGUCCUACAGAUGCCCACUCCUCACCACACAACAGAAGGAGCUCUGGUCCUGCCUGCCAGCCCCAGAGGGCACUCAAACUUUGGAGGCCAGCCACCCGGAUGAAGUGAAUAAGGCCUGAAAAUUGCUUGUUUGCUCGUAUUGUAAAAUAAUAAUAAUUACCAUUAUUAUUUUUAAACUGUCUAAUUUCUCUAGGGAAAGUAACAUCGAAAGCCUAAAACAGACGCCAAAAGGCCCAUAGAACACAGAGGGCCCUCUCUGCCUCUGGCCACCACAGCCCCUAGGCCAGGCAUGGGUAUUUAUUCUUAGGUAUGUUGCUUUUAAGAAGCUGUAAUCAGCAUCUUGAGCCGGGCCUCCCUUUGUGAGGCUUCUGUAACUAUGGAAGUGUGAUUUACGCAGAUUUGUCGGGGUCAGAGACGUCUUUCCCUGAGCACUGUGUAUAUUUAGACAGGACUCGGUUUGGUGUUAAAAAGUGUAUAUGUUGAAUGGAUUCACACA